rnacentral:rRNA from 1 species
UACGUAGGGUGCGAGCGUUAAUCGGAAUUACUGGGCGUAAAGCGUGCGCAGGCGGUUUUGUAAGCCAGAUGUGAAAGCCCCCGGGCUUAACCUGGGAAUGGCAUUUGGGACUGCAAGGCUAGAGUGCGGCAGAGGAGACUGGAAUUCCUGGUGUAGCAGUGAAAUGCGUAGAUAUCAGGAGGAAUACCGAUGGCGAAGGCAGGUCUCUGGGCUGACACUGACGCUCAUGCACGAAAGCGUGGGGAGCAACAGG